ACGGAAGGCAGCAGUGGGGAAUAUUGCACAAUGGGGGAAACCCUGGUGCAGCGACGCCGCGUGAGUGAAGAAGUAUUUCGGUAUGUAAAGCUCUAUCAGCAGGAAAGAAAAUGACGGUACCUGACUAAGAAGCCCCGGCUAACUACGUGCCAGCAGCCGCGGUAAUACGUAGGGGGCAAGCGUUAUCCGGAUUUACUGGGUGUAAAGGGAGCGUAGACGGCUUUGCAAGUCUGAAGUGAAAGCCCGGGGCUCAACCCCGGAACUGCUUUGGAAACUGUAGAGCUAGAGUGCAGGAGAGGUAAGUGGAAUUCCUAGUGUAGCGGUGAAAUGCGUAGAUAUUAGGAGGAACACCAGUGGCGAAGGCGGCUUACUGGACUGUAACUGACGUUGAGGCUCGAAGGCGUGGGGAGCAAACAGGAUUAGAUACCCUGGUA
rnacentral:rRNA from 2 species